AAAGGACAGAGACGGGCCCCUGGGAGGGAGGGAAGGCAGAGGCGCUGGCUGGCUGGCUUGCAAGGACACUUGUCAGAGGACUGGGUGAAGAAGAGGAAAAGCGGGGCUGAGAAGGGAUGAAGCAACCAGCACAGAAGCCAGCAGGUGGGAUUCCUGCAAAGGGGGAGAAGUGAGGAGAGAAAGCCUGGAGAAGGGGGAAGAGGGCUGUCAUCCCUGAGGACUGGCGGGGCGGCCGGGAGGGCUGCAGGGCAAUGGGAGGAAAGGGGCCAGGAGCAGGGGUUGGGGGGUGUUCUCUUGUCUUCACGUGAUGUCAGGGCUGCUGCCGGAAACUCCCAGGUGAGGCCUCUACCAGGGCCCAGGGCCCUUAGUCCACCUGUCUCCCCAUCAAGCCUACAGGGAGGUCCUGAUUCCCCUUUGAUAACUGAGGAGGCUGAGCCUCGGGGAGGUGGAGUCUGUUGCCCACAGACCAUCAGGACAUGGGUUCCCAAAGCCCAUGUUCCAUCCCCCUCCUGCUGCCGAGCAAGUCCCCUUGUCUGCAUGGCUGAGCCCGAGCCCCCCUGCCCCUUCCAGCCUGUGUUUGCGUCUCUUUGACAUUCUAGGUUGUCCAAGAGCCACCACCAGCCCAGAAACCAGAAAGGGGAAAACUGAACACCUUGUGCGCCUUGGUUCAGCGCUGCAGCCAGAUGCCACUGAUGUGGUAUCAGCCCAGGGACAUGGUAAGCAGGGCAUGGGGAUGCUUCCUGUGGGCCGGGGUCUUGGUUUUGCCCUUGACAGUUGCUCCCUGGGACUGUGGGUCAGAGAACCUGUCAGGGCCUCUGUUGAGAGAAACCUAAGAUGUGGAAAUGUGGGGCCCACGAGCCUGCAGACAAUUCUCUACAUGGCGCCUGUGCAUUUCCCUUUCACAUUAUCACAAGAAUGUUGGGAAGUUUCUGGAGUUUCCCUGGUGGUGCAGUGGGUUAAGGAUCAAGCAUUGCCACAGCUGUGGUGCAGGUCACAGCUGUGGCUCAAAUUCAUUCCCUGGCCUGUGAGCUUCCAUUUGCUGUGGGUACCACAAAAAAAAGGAAAAGAAAAAAAGAAAGUAGGGAAAUUUCUUAUCCAAAGCAAUACCCGGCUCUUCCAAUCUUAUGUAAAAAAAGGGCUGGAGAGGAAGGCAGGACAGCAAAUGCUAUUGGCCUCCCAGACCAUCAUCCUUCCACACUGCCUACCAGACCCUGUGAGACUGUGCUGGCUGCACCACUCAGGUGCCAGGAAUUGUGGAGACAUGGAGAUGUGUGGCCCCCCCCCAACACCGUAUGGCCAAAACUGA
rnacentral:lncRNA from 1 species